UUUGUGGACAGGCGAUAGCCAAAACACAGUGUCAGGAAAAUAAUAAUGUUGUUAAAGAUUCAACUGAAAAAAUACUAACAGAAAAUACUGUAUCUUUUUGGGAGCUAUGCUAAUGCAAAAAUGGUAAGCGAGUCUUCAGUGUUCUCCAUUUCUGUGGGGGUUUUAUUUAGAUCUACUUUGAAAACACAAAGUUUUCAGUACAUGGAAACACGACACAUGAGCAAGUUUUGAGAUUUUUAUGUUUUGCACUACAAGUUUUAUGCAAGUAUAUUUUGAAGAAGCAUACGUGUGUACUUUGUGGAGUACUCUCCAAAAGAGAUGCAAAGAGCCCGGUAUAGAAAGUAUGACAUUUUCUAUUGUGUGAAUAAUUCAAAAAGUUAUGUGCUGAGCACUACAUAAAUGUUAAUUUUAGUGAUUUGCAUCUGAUUAGAAAAGUGUCCUGCAGAGGAGCGGUGUUUUUUUCAUUAUCUUAUCUUAUUUUUUUUUUUUUUUUUUUUGUCAGGAAAGACAAAUUCAGUGGUAACUAAUGAAAAUACAAUCGCUAUAGGCAUGAUUCAUCCUUGCAAAAAUGAUAUGAAGAAGGGAAGGAAUGUUUGGAUCCCUGGAGAACCGAGUAGAUGUUGUCGUAUCAGGCCCAUCAGGCAGAAGGACUGGGAACUUCAGUGGUCCAAGGAACGUCUCGGUGUGAUGAUUCAGUAACUUGAACACGUGCUGUAUGCGGUGAAUUGUAAGUCUGAAGAGACUGAAAUGAUUGAGUAAGUUUUGGCUACUCAUAAAUUUUUCAGUUUGUGUUGCAGAAAGAGAAAAGGGGGGGAGGCAAGCCAGGCCCGGGGAGCUGUUAAAAGAAAGAACAAAAGAAGAAGUAUUGACAGGCAGCGAGGAGGUGUCAGUUUACUCAUUUAUUUGUUUUUCCUGUACCACUUCCCGGCUAGUUUGCAUUAGGCCCAGUAUGAAUUCAUGAAAUUUGAAUGAGUUUGCAAUACUUUUCAGAUAAGAGUAGUCCUUGCACAGAAAAAAGAGGUAAGAUGUAGUAUUCAAUUAUGCAAGAAUAGGGAGAAAGUACAGAGGAGCUGGCUCGAGGCAAAUAGACUAAGUGCUGGAGAAAGCAGCGGUGCUAUUGACGUGUCUUUUAAUGAUUAUUUAUUAAGAACAGAUGAUACGUGCACUCUCCCUUUCUGUCUUCUCUUCAGCUAGAUGCCAUCAAUAGAGGAAGGCUAACAACAGUGGUUUUGGGAUAGACAUAUAUUAGGAGAGUGUCAGAGGCUACAAAGAGACAGAAGUACAGAUAUGGAAAGAGUAUUGUGUUUAC
rnacentral:lncRNA from 1 species